rnacentral:rRNA from 1 species
AUUGAACGCUGGCGGUAGGCUUAACACAUGCAAGUCGAGCGGAAACGAAGAAUAGCUUGCUAUUCUGGCGUCGAGCGGCGGACGGGUGAGUAAUGCUUGGGAAUCUGCCUAGUCGAGGGGGACAACAGUUGGAAACGACUGCUAAUACCGCAUACGACCUACGGGUGAAAGGGGGCCUCUUCUUGAAAGCUCUCGCGACUAGAUGAGCCCAAGUGGGAUUAGCUUGUUGGUGAGGUAAGAGCUCACCAAGGCGACGAUCCCUAGCUGGUCUGAGAGGAUGAUCAGCCACACUGGAACUGAGACACGGUCCAGACUCCUACGGGAGGCAGCAGUGGGGAAUAUUGCACAAUGGGCGAAAGCCUGAUGCAGCCAUACCGCGUGUAUGAAGAAGGCCUUAGGGUUGUAAAGUACUUUCAGCGAGGAGGAAAGGUUGGCAAUUAAUACUUGUCAACUGUGACGUUACUCGCAGAAGAAGCACGGCUAACUCCGUGCCAGCAGCCGCGGUAAUAC